ACUGUCCCCAUCUGUGGGCAGAGGCCCCCUCUGAAGCAGGCCAGUGGACCCUCCUACGGAAGCAACUGCCGCUGGACUUGUAGCCCAAAGGCCUGGAUCUGACUGACUCCCAGGAUCGACCGUGUCCAAGGCGAGACCUGGGCACAUUAUUAGUGAACCUUUCUGAGAUUCAGUGGCCCCACCUGUGAGCUGGAGCGGAGGCAACCUCCCUGUCAGGGCAGCUAGGGAGUUCCAAGGAAGCACCUGACUCCCGGACCCGAGGAAGGCUGGCUGGAUCAGCAACAUCUGUACAGGGUGUGCCCUCCCUAGUCACCUAGCAGGUGGGGUGUCUUCUGGUCCCCUUCCCUGGGGGGAAGGGGCGCAGAACCCAGAAGUCAGCCUGCCACCUCGCCAGUGGUCCCUUCCAUUGCCACCCCUGUAGCUCCUGGUUACAGAGGGGGGAGUCUCCCUCUUUCAGGCCCCUAGGGUACCACCUGGAGAACUACAGGCCCAGAAAGAGUAGAAAAAGACGGAAGCUCAGUGUUAUAUUCUUUCUAGAUGAAUCUCCAGGCUGCAGCCACCGCCCCAGGCGAGUCCCGGGCCCGCAGCAAACCUGUCUGCUGUGGGUCUGUCUCAACAUGCUGCUUGGAAAGUCCAGAUUUUCAGUGUAAACUUUGUUCUCCCUGCCCUUUCUUCCGGGAUUCACAGAGGCAGCUCUCUCUGCAGCCCGAUCUGUCCCCAUCUCCUUGGUGCUGAAAGCCGAGGUCACACAUGUCCCCGUCAGAACAAGUCCUCAGUGCUGCUGUCCUUUGGGAGAGCGUAGAGCCUGGCCGGCCUUGGCCCCUGAGUUCGCCCGGGUGUCAGUUUCUCAGUGGCACUAUUUUUGGCAGACUUUUUUUUUUUUUUUAUCCUUGUUCUUUAUCACAGCCCCGUCGGGCAAAUGACAGCGGAAUUGCAAGCUUGAAUGGGCUUGUCUGACAGGCCAACUUUUAUCCUGGGCUCCGCUGCCUGACUUUUAGAAAGGAACUCCGAGCAGAGGAUGGUAAUUUCACACCGAUUCUUUGCUGUAAUUUGCUUUGGGGUUUAAAAUGUCGCGUUUCAAUCACUCUGGCUGCGUGGUGUAAGGGAGACGAGGAGCCACGCGUGUGGCUAAUGUGUUUGUAAUAGGCACACACAAAAGCGCUGCCUUGCUCUGAAGCAGCAGCACUGGAAACACUGACCAGCAGGCCAAGGCACUCUGUGGCAGGUAUAAACAAGUGCAUUAAAAAGGAACUCAUGAUAGAUUCCCCGCUCUGGCAGAAAAAGGGCUGCUUGUGACAGAAGCCUCACGGAGAACAUCUCCAUUCUUUCUAAUAAUUUAUUUUUAUUUUUGAAAAUUCUUUCGGCUGCUUCACAGAAUAUGGAGUUCCCCGGGGCCAGGGAUCAGACCCAUCUGAGCUGCCACUGCAACCAAUGCCAUAGCUGUGGCAAGCUAGACCCUCAACUCACUCUACUGGGCUGGGAAUCGAACCUGCGUCCUAGUGCUCCAGGGACAUGGCCUAUCCCAUUGCGCUGCAGUAGACACUCCAACAUCUCCAUUUUGCAAGCAUGUACUAGAAUAUCUUUAUGCCCCAGGCUGCAUUCAGCAGAGGAGCGGGGUGGUUUUAGGCAAACCCCCAAAGUAGGAGGGUCUGAAACCCGAGAUAGAUCUAAAGUCAGUGAGGCACAGAGAUGAGAUGCAGCUGAGGAUGCAACACUCAGCUUGGAUAAAGGGAAGCUGACAGGUUUAGACCAGAAGGGAAGGGAGUCUCCACACUGAUGAGAGCUGGUUAGGCUGUGUUUGGAGCGUCCUCUAAGGAAAAGGACCGAUGCUCCUAGAAAGGUCAGCAGACAUGGCUCUCCCCAGCCUAGAAUAGGAAGUGAUGGCUUUUCCUGAUUGAUAACCUGCCUGUGGAAGCAUCUGGCCUGUUCCUUCACUACUCUCACCACCCUCACGAUGGAGGCCACACUGCCUGAUGUUUGAUUAUUCUUCUUGGCCUCUACUGUUUCACGUUCCUUGCUCCCCACCUGGCCUAUAUGGGCCUUGAAGUCAGGAACCAAUAUCUAGCCAUCUCUGUGUGCCCCAAGGCUCCUUUCUGGGGCUCAGCACAAACUAAGACUCAGUAACUACCUGGAGGAUAUCAGAGCCCUUCAUGCAUGGCCCCCAAAGUUUCAGAAGUACCAGUGAGACUGCACCAGGGCCAGGUAGGUGAUUUUGAGGACAGCAAAUCCCAGCUCAUUCUUGGAGGCCUGUCAGGCUCCUGACAAUCUCUCCCACUCACCUUUUGUGCCUUCUUGGCCUCAGCACCAUCUGCUGUAUAUGCCAGCUGAGCAGCAUGGAAUGCUCCCAGGCCUCUGUGCCUUUGCACAUGCUGCUCCCUCUGCCUGGCUGCCCUUCCCUCAUUCUCCCAUCCAUGGACUUGUCUACUCAGCUCAUGGUCAGCCCUUCCUGCCUGACAGAGCUGUCCUGGGGGCAGAGCUGGUGAUGCCUCACUCUCUGGGUCCAGGGUACUUUCUGGAGGCCUGAUGUGGUAGCUGGACCAAUGGCCCUGCCAUCAGGCUGGCAGGUCUUCCUCUUCUGUUGGGCUGUGAGUGCCUUGUGGGUGGGACCCACCUUCCUCACCUCUCAGCUCUUGGCCCUCAGCACAGAGGUACCCAGUACAGGUUCAUCAAGUGACUGUGUUUCCCACAUUUGGCAGAUUGUGAUGCAGCAAGUAAUGUGGGGAUGGAGCAAAGGGGAUCCCACUGUGAGACCAAANNNNNNNNNNNNNNNNNNNNNNNNNNNNNNNCCACACACACACACACACACACACACACACACACACACACACACACACACACACACAGUCAGAGUUGGUGCUCUUUCCUUGAAGAAUGCUAAUACACCCAUAAACAUUUGGAGUCCUCAGAUCAUCUUAAAUUAUAGACUCUAACAGUCACAGGGAACAUGAAUUUCACAGAGUGCCACUUUCACACACAGCUAGACAAAUCUAAGCUUGACUGCCCUGCCUUACCCGUUCCUUCUCAUGGAAACCACAUAAGACUCUCACCCACAGGGCCUCCCAUCUCUCUAUGCCUCUUGAUGGACCCUGGUGCUUCCCCAUGUGGCCCUGCUUGGUAUGUUGCAUUCUCUCCAAGGAAGCAUAAGGAUGUCUUUAAAUUUUCUCCAUCCCUCUCUGCCUUGACUUGCAUCUGGUCUUACCAGACCCAAUCCGAGGUAAUAUGACAACAUAGAUUCGCUGAAGCCCAGUGCUCAGAAAACCCUGGGCCAGGCUUCAGAGAUGGGCCAAUGGGUGAUUGCUGCUGUUGCGUGUCACUCUGGCAGAGGCCACAGCACUCUCCUCUGGGAGAUCUGGGGCUGAUGGAAAUCAUGGCCAGCUUCUCAAGAAGCUUGGGCCAAAAGAACUCUUCCUUGCAUAAAACUGGGCUCAUCAUCAUCAGUAUAAACAUGACAUGGCCUUAACAGAGAGCCCAAGUGAACAGUGUUCUCAGUGAGAGCACAUGCUCACCCAGAGGAAGGGUGUUUAUUGGCUCCUUCAGGGCCCAGGGAAGGGGCACUCACCUUGUAGGGAAUGCCUAUGUCUGAGACAGAGCUCACCUUGGGGGAGAAGAGAACAACAACCUCUCGGAAGAGGGUUAAUUCACUCUUGGUGACUUGUGAAGUUGCAGAAUCACACAAUUAUAGAAUCUUAAAAGGUCAGAGGCUGGAAGGGAGAUAAGAAGCCAUCUGGGCUCAAAACCUCUUGUUUUAAGAAUAAAAAAAUAACAGGUGGGGUGGGCAAGGAAGGGUAGACAGGGGUGGGGUGGGGGGUUGGGAUGGAAAUGUUCUAAAAUCAGAACAUUUUGUGAUGAUGGCUGCACAACUAUAAAAAUAAUGAAAUUC
rnacentral:lncRNA from 1 species